GACGAACGCUGGCGGCGUGCUUAACACAUGCAAGUCGAACGGUAAGGCCCUUCGGGGUACACGAGUGGCGAACGGGUGAGUAACACGUGGGUGAUCUGCCCUGCACUUCGGGAUAAGCCUGGGAAACUGGGUCUAAUACCGGAUAGGACCACUGCCUGCAUGGGUGGUGGUGGAAAGCUUUUGCGGUGUGGGAUGGGCCCGCGGCCUAUCAGCUAGUUGGUGGGGUGAUGGCCUACCAAGGCGACGACGGGUAGCCGGCCUGAGAGGGUGACCGGCCACACUGGGAAUGAGAUACGGCUCAGACACCUACGGGAGGCAGCAGUGGGGAAUAUUGCACAAUGGGCGCAAGCCUGAUGCAGCAACGACGCGUGAGGGAUGACGGCCUUCGGGUUGUAAACCUCUUUUAGCAGGGAAGAAGCGAAAGUGACGGUACCUGCAGAAAAAGCACCGGCUAACUACGUGCCAGCAGCCGCCGUAA
rnacentral:rRNA from 1 species